rnacentral:rRNA from 1 species
GCUAUCACUCUUGGAUGGACCUGCGGUGCAUUAGCUAGUUGGUAAGGUAACGGCUUACCAAGGCAAUGAUGCAUAGCCGAGUUGAGAGACUGAUCGGCCACAUUGGGACUGAGACACGGCCCAAACUCCUACGGGAGGCAGCAGUAGGGAAUCUUCCACAAUGGACGAAAGUCUGAUGGAGCAACGCCGCGUGAGUGAAGAAGGGUUUCGGCUCGUAAAGCUCUGUUGGUAGUGAAGAAAGAUAGAGGUAGUAACUGGCCUUUAUUUGACGGUAAUUACUUAGAAAGUCACGGCUAACUACGUGCCAGCAGCCGCGGUAAUACGUAGGUGGCAAGCGUUGUCCGGAUUUAUUGGGCGUAAAGCGAGUGCAGGCGGUUCAAUAAGUCUGAUGUGAAAGCCUUCGGCUCAACCGGAGAAUUGCAUCAGAAACUGUUGAACUUGAGUGCAGAAGAGGAGAGUGGAACUCCAUGUGUAGCGGUGGAAUGCGUAGAUAUAUGGAAGAACACCAGUGGCGAAGGCGGCUCUCUGGUCUGCAACUGACGCUGAGGCUCGAAAGCAUGGGUAGCGAACAGGAUUAGAUACCCUGGUAGUCCAUGCCGUAAACGAUGAGUGCUAAGUGUUGGGAGGUUUCCGCCUCUCAGUGCUGCAGCUAACGC